rnacentral:rRNA from 1 species
CCUACGGGAGGCAGCAGUAAGGAAGUAUUGGACAAUGCUCGCAAGAGUGAUCCAGCCAUGCCGCGUGCAGGAAGAAUGCCCUAUGGGUAGUAAACUGCUUUUGAACUAGAGAAAACCCCAGUACGUGUACUGGGCUGAUAGUAUAGUUAGAAUAAGCAUCGGCUAACUUCGUGCCAGCAGCCGCGGUAAGACGAAGGAUGCAAGCGUUAUCCGGAUUCAUUGGGUUUAAAGGGAGCGUAGGUGGACUGAUAAGUCAGUGGUGAAAUCUCCGAGCUUAACUCGGAAAUUGCCAUUGAUACUGUUGGUCUUGAGUACAGUUGCUGUGGGCGGAAUAUGACAUGUAGUGGUGAAAUACAUAGAGAUGUCAUAGAACACCGAUUGCGAAGGCAGCUCACAAAGCUGUAACUGACACUGAGGCUCGAAAGUGCGGGGAUCAAACAGGAUUGGAUACCCUGGUAGUCCGCACCGUAAACGAUGAUUACUCGCUGCUAGGGGGCAACCGUUAGUGGCUUAGCGAAAGCGAUAAGAAUCCACCUGGGGAGUACGCCGGCACGGUGAAACUCGAAAGGAAUUGACGGCNGAGAGNGCGAGGACGACACGAGGGGAGGAGG